rnacentral:rRNA from 1 species
UACGUAGGGUGCAAGCGUUGUCCGGAAUUAUUGGGCGUAAAGAGCUCGUAGGCGGUUCUGUCGCGUCUGCUGUGAAAACCUAGGGCUUAACUCUGGGCGUGCAGUGGGUACGGGCAGGCUAGAGUGCGGGUAGGGGGAGACUGGAAUUCCUGGUGUAAGCGGUGAAAUGCGCAGAUAUCAGGAGGAACACCGGUGGCGAAGGCGGGUCUCUGGGCCGUAACUGACGCUGAGGAGCGAAAGCAUGGGGAGCGAACAGG